UACGUAGGGGGCAAGCGUUGUUCGGAAUUACUGGGCGUAAAGGGCGCGUAGGCGGCACGGCAAGUCGGGAGUGAAAGCCCGGGGCUCAACCCCGGAGGGUCUCUCGAAACUGCCGAGCUAGAGUGCGGAAGAGGCAAUCGGAAUUCCCAGUGUAGCGGUGAAAUGCGUAGAUAUUGGGAAGAACACCGGAGGCGAAGGCGGAUUGCUGGGCCGACACUGACACUGAGGAGCGAAAGCCAGGGGAGCAAACGGG
rnacentral:rRNA from 1 species